rnacentral:rRNA from 1 species
ACUCCUACGGGAGGCAGCAGUGGGGAAUAUUGCACAAUGGAGGAAACUCUGAUGCAGCAACGCCGCGUGGAGGAUGACACUUUUCGGAGCGUAAACUCCUUUUAUAUAGGAAGAUAAUGACGGUACUAUAUGAAUAAGCACCGGCUAACUCCGUGCCAGCAGCCGCGGUAAUACGGAGGGUGCAAGCGUUACUCGGAAUCACUGGGCGUAAAGAGCGUGUAGGCGGGUUAUUAAGUCAGAAGUGAAAUCCUAUGGCUCAACCAUAGAACUGCUUUUGAAACUGGUAACCUAGAGUAUGGGGAGAGGUAGAUGGAAUUUCUGGUAGUAGGGUUAAAACUCCGUAGAGAUCAGAAGGAAUACCGAUUGCGAAGGCGAUCUACUGGAACAUUACUGACGCUGAGACGCGAAAGCGUGGGGA